UUGGGUGCAGCCCGCAGCAGCCGCUGGGCUGGCGAGGAGACCCACCCCAAGAUGCAGCCACAGGGUUGCCCAAGGGGGACCCUCCCUUUCUCUCCCCAAUCAAUCGACCUCGACUGGAUGGAGGCCCAGGGAGGCUCUCGAAGUUCAGUACACCCCCUCGACACCGUGGUCUUUGCAAGUUGAUUGUGUGGGACAUCAAUGAUGAAGCAGUCUAUGGGCGCCCUGGUCCCUACAGCAGCCAUUUUCCCUGCAUGUCUCUGAGUCAUAGAUUGGCAGUUCUUGUGAUAUUUUCUAUCAGAGUCUGUGGUCAGGCACCUCUGGCAGGACUCUGGCCAUUGUUGUGGGCUCCACAAUGACACUCACACACUGUGAACUUGACCCAAACUGUCCUGAUAGCACCCAUUGGUGGCCAUUACUAUCUGUCCCAUUCCCUGUUCCCUGACACACAGCCAGGGGGGGAAGCCAGGACAAUGAAUAACUCAACAUGGCUGCAAAGUGGAAGGAAGAGCCUCUCAUCUCUCACUUGAAGCCAAAAACUGACAUGAAGAUGCUGAGUGAGGAAGGCAAGUGGGAAGUCUGAAAAAUUAUGCCAAGUGGUCAACCAAGUUGUCAAUGCAAAAGGAAUGUUCUAGAAGGAGGCUGAAAGUGAUUGCUAGUGUUUCUUCGGGGGACACACACAGAUGAAGUGAAGCAACCUUAUUGCUAACAUGGAGAACGUUUCAGUUAAGUGGACGUAAGAUCGGAAUUGCCACAACAGUUUCUUAAGCCAAACCUCAGCUAGAACAAAGCUCUGCCUCUCUCCUAUUCGACUCAGGCCAAAGGAGGCUUCAGAAGGAAAGUUGGAGCAGUUAGAUGGUCACACCUGGUAGUGCUCAGGAGUUACUCCUGGCUCUACACUCAGAAAUC